CGAAAUGCGAUAAGUAAUGUGAAUUGCAGAAUUCAGUGAAUCAUCGAAUCUUUGAACGCACCUUGCGCUCCUUGGUAUUCCUUGGAGCAUGCCUGUUUGAGUAUCAUGAAAUCUUCAAAGUAAAUCUUUUGUUAACUCAAUUGGUUUAUACUUUGGUAUUGGAGGUCUUUGCAGCUUCACACCUGCUCCUCUUUGUUCAUUAGCUGGAUCUCAGUGUUAUGCUUGGUUCCACUCGGCGUGAUAAGUUAUCUAUCGCUGAGGACACUGUAAAAGGUGGCCAAGGUAAAUGCAGAUGAACCGCUUCUAAUAGUCCAUUGACUUGGACAAUACUUUUAUGAUCUGAUCUCAAAUCAGGUAGGACUACCCGCUGAACUUAAGC
rnacentral:misc_RNA from 1 species